rnacentral:rRNA from 1 species
GACGAACGCUGGCGGCGUGCUUAACACAUGCAAGUCGAACGUGAUUUUUGUGGAAAUUCUUUCGGGAAUGGAAAUGAAAUGAAAGUGGCGAACGGGUGAGUAACACGUGAGCAACCUACCUUACACAGGGGGAUGGCCGUUGGAAACGACGAUUAAUACCGCAUGAGACCACAGAAUCGCAUGAUAUAGGGGUCAAAGAUUUAUCGGUGUAAGAAGGGCUCGCGUCUGAUUAGCUAGUUGGAAGGGUAAAGGCCUACCAAGGCGACGAUCAGUAGCCGGUCUGAGAGGAUGAACGGCCACAUUGGAACUGAGACACGGUCCAAACUCCUACGGGAGGCAGCAGUGGGGAAUAUUGCACAAUGGGGGGAACCCUGAUGCAGCGACGCCGCGUGAGCGAAGAAGGUUUUCGAAUCGUAAAGCUCUGUCCUAUGAGAAGAUAAUGACGGUAUCAUAGGAGGAAGCCCCGGCUAAAUACGUG